rnacentral:rRNA from 1 species
AUUGAACGCUGGCGGCAGGCCUAACACAUGCAAGUCGAACGGUAACAGGAAGAAGCUUGCUUCUUUGCUGACGAGUGGCGGACGGGUGAGUAAUGUCUGGGAAACUGCCUGAUGGAGGGGGAUAACUACUGGAAACGGUAGCUAAUACCGCAUAACGUCGCAAGACCAAAGAGGGGGACCUUCGGGCCUCUUGCCAUCGGAUGUGCCCAGAUGGGAUUAGCUAGUAGGUGGGGUAACGGCUCACCUAGGCGACGAUCCCUAGCUGGUCUGAGAGGAUGACCAGAGAAAGGGGAACAGAAACACGGACCAGAGGACGCAGGAAGGCAGCAGUGGGGAAUAGUGGGCAAUGGGCGGAAGUAUGAUCAAGCUAGCGGGAGGGGGAGAAGAAGGACUUUGGGUAGUAAAGCUCUUUUGGGGGGAAGAAAGAGAAGCAAGGUAAUACCACGCUGCAGGGACGGGACCAGAAGAAGAAGCAACGGCUAACGAGGUG